CCUACGGGAGGCAGCAGUGAGGAAUAUUGGUCAAUGGGCGAGAGCCUGAACCAGCCAAGUCGCGUGAGGGAGUACUGCCCUAUGGGUUGUAAACCUCUUUUGUCGGGGAGCAAAAGCCGGACGUGUCCGGCUGUGAGAGUACCCGAAGAAAAAGCAUCGGCUAACUCCGUGCCAGCAGCCGCGGUAAUACGGAGGAUGCGAGGGUUCUCCGGAUUUAUUGGGUUUAAAGGGUGCGCAGGCGGAUUUUUAAGACAGGGGUAAAAUCGUGGGGCUCAACCCCAUCCAGCCGUUGAAACUGGGGAUCUAGAGUGUGCGAGAGGUAUGCGGAAUGCGUGGUGUAGCGGUGAAAUGCAUAGAUAUCACGCAGAACCCCGAUUGCGAAGGCAGCAUACCGGUGCACAACUGACGCUCAGGCACGAAAGCGUGGGUAUCGAACAGGAUUAGAUACCCCGGUAGUC
rnacentral:rRNA from 1 species